ACCUUAGAACCGUGGGGCAGAUGUUGCGAACCACAAAGUCCCGCGGGCCUGGUCUAAAAAUACCUCACCAGUGAUUUGUUAGGAUUGUUUUAGAAACGAUCAUUUGAAAACACUGGUAGAGACUUACGGAAAUAAAGUGGUGCAUAUCGUCGCUGUCUGGCGGAAACGAGGUUCAAAUAUGGUCAAAUUUACGUUUGAUCCAAUCAAUACGAAUGGUCCGUCCCCAUUUCGUCGGUUACUUUUACCAAUUCAAAGCAGUGAAAAUAGCUUGAAAACAAAAUACGUUGCUGCUCUUGAACGCAACUUAUGUCUUGAGUGUUGCACAACUACUUGGUUCCUUCGUUCUGUGGAAGCUGUGUGGCGAAGUUGUAUUUAACGUAUGGAUUUUUUCUUUUCGAGAAUGAGCGAAAAUAGUAUCAGGUUAGAAGAUACAUAUGAUAUUAACCCGUUUGCUAAUUAUUGCGGGAAAUCAUUAACAUGAUCAGUGCGUUCACAUAAAUUAACACCAUUGAAUGCUUUGUAAUCAUAACUAAGGUAAUUUGAGCAAUUUUUUUUUUUUUACGUUUCAGAAUACUGCAUCAAACCCAAGAAGUAGCCUUCCGUUUCAAAAAGGUUGGUGACCCCUGGUCUAGGGUAUGCAUCAUUUUGGCCUUAACACCAAAAAUCCGCGGUCUCCCAAAUUCAAUUGGUGUUAAUUGGUAAAGCUCCCAAAAAAAUGAUUCCAUUUCGGGUGUACCGAAAAUUCGCCAUUGAUACUGAAAGAGAUGUUUUGCCAACUGAUGUAUACGGCACAGCACAUAAAGGACUCCAACAGAAAGUGUCUCAUCAUGUUGGUCUGUUGAACUUCUGCACAUUUCCUGCUCUUGACUUGGACUGCCGUUGCUCAUUUAUUAGCGGCUGUGUGGCCAAUUAGCUCCCUGCCCCCUUUCCUGUGGGGGAGGAAAGCGGGCGAGAUGGAGGUGGGGUCUACUUUUUUUUUUUUUUGUGGGAGUGAAAUGGAGGAGACACACGGAAGGGGAGGUCUCUUCUCAUCUGACAUCGUCAUAAAGGAAUCCCCUGAAAUGGGUUCAGCCCCGCCCACUUGCUUAUUCUCACCCCGUCCGGCUCCCAGACACACUCGCCUUCUCACAUGCUCGUGUCUGCACUGCUCACAGAGGAAGAGAGAGAGAGAGAGAGAAAGAGACGACAAGGGAAGGAGAGGGGAAGAGCGAGAGAGAGAGGGAGAGCGAGAGGCCGACAUCUGUGUAGUUGAGCCACAUCACUGGAGAGCAUGGUGAGAGUCAACGGGAGACCAAAGACAGGAGUAACAAAAGUUCUCUCAGAUGUGGCGUCGACGACGGCGACGACGCUUCCCGUCGCAAGCCGUCUCUGUUGACCAGGGGAAUUCCUGGCAGAGUGAUUUUGGAGACUAAAUACUGAAUCACAUUGCCAGGGAUUUCCAAUGGCUGGCAUGAGGAAUGCAACGCGCUCGCUCACCUUUCUGAUUUGCUCACUCACACAAAAACACACCCUCCUCUUCUGUUCCCGGCACCCGGCCGCGCGGCGGCAGGACUUAGCACACAUGUGAACAGAGUCUGCCAUGUUCACAGUGGUUAAGUUCUGUCGCCACAGGGCUGCAAACUGCUAGGGGUUGGAGUAAAGGUCAAGGUCGCGGGUUUACAUCAGCAGAGGUCCACUGAAAUUUUGGAUUUUAGAUUUAAAGAACACAUUGGUUUUUUUGUUUGUUUUUUUUUUAAUAAUGUGCAUUAUUUUGGUUCUUGAAAAAUAUUGCGCUUGUGUGCAGAAACCGUGAUUCCGGGAGAUGUUAUGCAUGUGCAUGUAAGUCAUGCUGAUGGAUUAGAAAAGGGGCAUGAAAAUGACACAAAUCAAUCUGUUCAAAUGGAAAUUUCGUUUUAAGUUUGACAUUUUAGAUUUUAUUCCAAAGGCGAUGUAUAGUAUUUACUGACAAAAAUGACUAGCAAUAAAGGCCUCCCUUAUUACACCCCUGCUCUCUGAUAUGUUCACAUGAUAAUAUUUCUUAACUUCUAAACCAUUUUCCACUAUAGCAAAAUACAACAUUGGUGUUGAAAAAUGUGCCCCAUAGAUUUAUGAAGUGUUUACUUAUAGAUAUAUAUAUUUCUUGUGUAUGUCCCUACUCGGUUGCGCGUUGCUGUAAAAUGCCAACAGAGCUUGUGAAACAAUUCAUAUAUUGAAGGGUCAAAAAAAAAAAAAACUCUUGCGCCUAUUCAUCGUACUAGAUGGAGUGUUGCGUGUGUAUGACGGAUGACUCACCAUUGUGUUAUGACAAUGUCAGCGUGCUGCACCCAGCUCAUGGGAGAUGGUAUAAUGCCGUCUGCUAAUAACUGCUAAUCUGUUGAAAAAGCAAAAUGUCAUCAGCUCCCUCAUCACUCUCUAAAGGACACGUGUGAAACUUCGGAAUUGCUUUUUUUUUUUUUUUUUUGCUUUGAUGAUGCUUUGCCCAUGAAUUUCUGUAUCAAUAGAAAGGGCCAAUUAGUUUUACCUGAAUAAUAUAUGCAUAUAUAUCUUUGUUUAUAUUAGUAUAAACACCAUACUGGACCGGUCUCCCGUGCCUGCUGUGCUGAUAAUCAGUGUGUGACGUCGGCUGGCUCAGUUCAGCAGGAACAGGGGCCUGUAGUCUCAUUUACGCUCACUUCCUUAUGCCUGUACACCGCAGGUGCACUCUAUGCACAUGUCCGAUUGAAGUGACUUGUUUGUUCAUUGAUGUCUGCUUGAUUAAAUGGAUGUGAUUUGCACAUUGAAAAUUAAAAUCUUUUUGGUGAA